rnacentral:misc_RNA from 1 species
GUCGAAGUUUAAUUUGGGCACCUCCACUACUGUGUGAAAUCCAGUGGGAAAUUUGAAUACGAGAGUAUCGCCGGCUGCAAUGGUCUGGCUGGAAGACCAGUCAGAGUAGAAGCUUGUGUUGGGCGGGAUUGUCCAUCCGGUGCUGCCACCUACAAUAUGGGCGAUCCCUGCUGCUGCCACAGGCGAGCUAUGCAAGAGAAUGGUUGUUGCAAGCAAGGCAACGGCAGCUACAAAUGUU